rnacentral:rRNA from 1 species
CUUGGAAGCAGCCAUUCAUUUAAAGAGUGCGUAACAGCUCACUAGUCGAGGAGUUCUGCGUGGAUAAUAAUCGGGCAUAAGCCGUUUACCGAAGCUGUGGAAUUGGCAACAAUUGGUAGGGGAGCAUUCCAUGAGCCGCAGAAGGUUUUCCUUGAGGAAUGCUGGAGGUGAUGGAAAAGCAAAUGUAGGUAUAAGUAACGAUAAAGAGGGCGAGAACCCCUCUCGCCGAAAGACCAAGGGUUCCUGAUCAACGCUAAUCGGAUCAGGGUAAGUCGGGCCCUAAGGCGCAGCCGAACGGCGCAGCCGAUGGCAGAAACGGUUAAUAUUCCGUUACUAUGAUACGGAGUGACGAGGAGACGGAGAAGUGACACUCUCGCCUGCUGACGGAAUAGCAGGUUGAACGGUGUAGAUAAUGACAUGGUAGGCAAAUCCGCCGUGACAGUCGAACCGGAUAGUACUGGGCGCCCCCGGGCAACCAGAUAGUAGAGGUAAUCAGGCUCCCGAGAAAAUCCCCUAAACAUAUGCGUAUCAUACCCGUACCCUAAACGGACACACGUGGUUGAGUAGAAAAUACUAAGGCGCUCGAGCGACUCACGGUUAAGGAACUAGGCAAAUUGACCCUGUAACUUCGGGACAAAGGGUCCCUCCCUCCGGGGAGGGCGCAGAGAAUAGGUCCAGGCAACUGUUUAACAAAAACACAGGGCUGUGCAAAAUUGAAAGAUGAAGUAUACAGCCUGACACCUGCCCGGUGCUGGAAGGUUAAGAGGAGAUGUCAUCGCAAGAGAAGCGUUGAAUUGAAGCCCCAGUAAACGGCGGCCGUAACUAUAACGGUCCUAAGGUAGCGAAAUUCCUUGUCGGGUAAGUUCCGACCUGCACGAAUGGUGUAAUGAUCUGGACACUGUCUCAACCGUGAACUCGGUGAAAUUGUAGUAUCGGUGAAGAUGCCGAUUACCCGCAACGGGACGGAAAGACCCCGUGAACCUUUACUGCAACUUAACAUUGAAUUUGGGUAACUGAUGUGUAGGAUAGUCCGGAGACAGAGAAAUGGAUACGCCAGUAUUCAUGGAGUCACCCUUGAAAUACGGACCUUUGGUUAUUUGAGUUCUAACCCGUGGAAAAUGGGGACACUGUUUGGUGGGUAGUUUGACUGGGGUGGUCGCCUCCAAAAGCGUAACGGAGGCUUCUAAAGGUGCCCUCCGGCCGAUUGGUAACCGGCCUUAGAGUGUAAUGGCAUAAGGGCGCUUGACUGGGAGACUGACAAGUCGAUCAGGUAGGAAACUAGAGCAUAGUGAUCCGGUGGUUCCGCAUGGAAGGGCCAUCGCUCAAAGGAUAAAAGGUACUCCGGGGAUAACAGGCUGAUCGCUCCCAAGAGCUCAUAUCGACGGAGCGGUUUGGCACCUCGAUGUCGGCUCGUCACAUCCUGGGGCUGGAGAAGGUCCCAAGGGUUGGGCUGUUCGCCCAUUAAAGUGGCACGCGAGCUGGGUUCAGAACGUCGUGAGACAGUUCGGUCCCUAUCUGUUGUGGGCGCAGGAAAUUUGAGGAGAUCUGACACUAGUACGAGAGGACCGUGUUGGACAGACCGCUGGUUUAUCAGUUGUUCCGCCAGGGGCAUAGCUGAGUAUCUAAGUCUGGAAAGGAUAAGUGCUGAAAGCAUCUAAGUACGAAGCCAACUUCAAGAUGAGAUUUCCCUGAAGGGUCGUUGCAGACGACGACGUAGAUAGGUUGCAGAUGUAAAGGCGGUAACGUCAAAGUCGAGCAAUACUAAUCACCCGAGACUUUCCGCUG